rnacentral:lncRNA from 1 species
ACACACACACACACACUGUUACACUGCUGACAUUUGUCUUUCAUCAUCAUGUAAAGGUCACCAGUCGGCCCUCUGCCAAACACACACACACACACACUGCUUUAUUAGCAUCACAUUAUCACUGUGUGUGUGUGUGUGUGUGUGUGUGUGUGUGUGUGUGUGUGUGUGUGUCUGUGUGUGUGUGUGUGUGUGUGUGUGUGUGUGUGUCAAUACUCUGAACACACUCCUCCUCUCUGCAUCCAAACAGCAGCAGCAGAGUCAGAGGUGACAUUUAGAGUCAAACUUUCUCAUCAACACUUGUAACCACGGCAACGCACAGGUACAGCAGAGCAUCAUGGGAACUGGAGGGUUAGGGCCCAGGUGGAGACAGACAGGUGAGGACAGGUGGAGACAGACAGGUGAGGACAGGUGGGGACAGAGGAGUCUGUGUUUCACAGUGAGACACCGUCAGCUUCAGUCCAACAGUUUACAGUCGGAGACACCUGAGUGUCCUCCAGGUGGACGUGGUUUUGGACUCCAGGUUGUCCUCCCAGCAGGACUGUCUCAGUUGUCUCUCACUGUAACUCUGUAGCGCUCCUUCACUUUAGUUCUCAAUCUUUUUAAAUAUUUCAAAUCCUUUAAAUUAGAAUAAACUUUUUUUUUCAUCAGCUCUGGAAACUCGAGAAAAAUAAUCAGAAACAAAAAUAAAUAAAUAAAAAUCAUCUCAGCUGUCUCCGUCUUUGACAGUAACUCCACCCUCCAAGAGACGUCCAGACAGUCCUCCUUUACCCUCGACCUCUGAAAACAAACAUUCACUAAAUAUGAGAGUUUAAUAAAUCAUAAUAAAGAGUUUAAAUCAUAAUAAAGAGUUUAAAUCAUAAUAAAGAGUUUAAAUCAUAAUAAAGAGUUUAAAUCAUAAUAAAGAGUUUAAAUCAUAAUAAAGAGUUUAAAUUAUAAUAAAAAGUUUAAAUCAUAAUAAAGAGUUUAAAUCAUAAUAAAGAGUUUAAAUCAUAAUAAAGAGUUUAAAUUAUAAUAAAGAGUUUAAAUCAUAUUAAAGAGUUUAAAUCAUAAUAAAGAGUUUAAAUCAUAUUAAAGAGUUUAAAUCAUAAUAAAGAGUUUAAAUCAUAAUAAAGAGUUUAAAUUAUAAUAAAGAGUUUAAAUCAUAUUAAAGAGUUUAAAUCAUAAUAAAGAGUUUAAAUCAUAUUAAAGAGUUUAAAUCAUAAUAAAGAGUUUAAAUCAUAAUAAAGAGUUUAAACCAUAAAAGAGUUUAAAUCAUAAUAAAGAGUUUAAAUCAUAAUAAAGAGUUUAAUAAAUCAUAAUAAAGAGUUUAAAUCAUAAUAAAGAGUUUAAAUCAUAAUAAAGAGUUUAAAUCAUAAUAAAGAGUUUAAUAAAUCAUAUUAAAGAGUUUAAAUCAUAAUAAAGAGUUUAAAUCAUAAUAAAGAGUUUUAAUCAUAAUAAAGAGUUUAAAUUAUAAUAAAGAGUUUAAAUCAUAUUAAAGAGUUUUAAUCAUAAUAAAGAGUUUAAAUCAUAUUAAAGAGUUUUAAUCAUAAUAAAGAGUUUAAAUUAUAAUAAAGAGUUUAAAUCAUAAAAGAGUUGAAUUAAUCAUAAUUCAAACACAGACUCCUGAAUAUUCAGUUAUUUUAACUCUGAUUAAAGUGGCAUUAAUGAGCCUCCAUACACUCUGACCUGCCUGAAAACAGACUGAACACUGAUGGACCAGAACAUGUCUCACUAUUGUCACAGGUGAGUGCGUGUGUGCGCGCGCGUGUUCCGUUGUUUUAGUCUGUUUCUGUUGCUCUGUGUGUUCAGCUCUUUGUAAUGAUCAAUAAAGUUUGGAUUGAUUUUCGUCCGGCGGUCACAUGACCCCGAAAAAGCGCACCACCUCGCGCUAUUUACCGAGGGAUCGGGAAGUGUUCCGGUUUGAUUCCAGGUGUGAAGAUGGCGGCAGGUAAGAGUGUGUGUGUGUGUGUGUGUGUGUGUGUGUGGUUGUGUUCCCUUUAAACACCGACAGAUCAGAGUUCAGAGGUAAACAGGUGAACUGUUGUUCAGGGUUCAGGACUUUCAGCUGCGGGGAAACUGUUGGUCUGAGUUUAGCUGCGCGGGAAACGGGAGCGCGCCAUGCGCACUUCCGGUACCGGCCCUCAGGCCGCGAGAGAGAGAGAGUGAGAGAGUCUUCGGUUAAAGGGAUAUUCUGUUGUAAAAUAAUUUAGGGUCAAACCCACCGUAACACUGAGUUAGACACCGACCGCUUCCUUCUCUAGUUAUACCAACUUUAGUAACGACCGCAGGAUAGUAAUACAGAGAGCCACGCCCCCAACUAAAACGCCACUCUAUAGCCACAAAUAAUGCUCAGAACAGCACCUAACUUCAUCAACAGGACAUAUAGGGUCACAGACAUAGUACUAGACACCAAACAUCUUUUUAACUUUGACUCAUUUCUUUAGCAAAGAGACUAAACACAACUCACCUACUCUCUUCCAGCAGACGCUUGUUUGUAGAGAGACCUCAGGCCAGUCUAUUACAGACUACAGCGGGGUGCCGCAGCUCAAGGAAGAACAUUUAUGAUCAUUUCUUCAUGGAAAUACAAUCAGACCGAGACGCUAAGACAGAAGAACUACCGCGUCUGACCAGGUAACACUCUCACCUGUCAUCGUAUUUCCUCACUCAUUCAUCCUCACCCUCUCACUCGUGUCUGAGCUUCAAAAACAGAUAAACAGGAUGACCUCUGACCUGAGUCUGCUGUGAACAAAACAGAGAAAAUCACAGAGACGGUGUCUGCACAAGUGUGUGUGUGUGUGUGUGUGUGUGUGUGUGUGUGUGUGUGUGUAUGUGUGUAAGCCUGCAGGCACAAACAUGAGGACACUUUGAAGCGUCGACUUGGACAGUCAGAGUCUUCAGGGACGACCAAUCUGCUGCAGCUGCUGCUGAGGGCUACCUGCACCUCAUUAUCAUAUCUGUGUGUGUGUGUGUGUGUGUGUGUGUGUGUCUGUGUGUGUGUGUGUGUGAAUCCUUCAGAGAAUCAAGAUGUUGGUCCAUAGUUUGUGCUGAGGCGGCGUUUAGACAGUUUGAGAGAGAGAGAGAGAGAGACUGUUCCUGCUUUAUGUCUUCUACAGAGGAGUUCAAUGAGUGUGUGUGCAUGUGUGCGCACUCAUGUAUGUAUGUGUGUGUGUGUGUGUGUGUGUGUGUACAGAACAGUCAGUCUUUGUCGUCGUCUCUGAAAGUCUCUUCUGUUGAUCAGAGUCAAACACCAAAGUCCAGGUCUGGUCCUUAAACCCGGUUUCUGUGGGUCCAGGUUCUCCUCCUCUGCUGGUUCAUGUCGAGGUCACAUGAUCAGAUUUGAUGAGAAGAGAGGCUGAAAUAAACUCCAGAACCGCUCCAAUCUAGAUGUGGUUUUUCAACGUUCGACAGUCCCUACCUGAUCUGUCUGUGAGGUGAAUUUUGUACAGACAGCAGGAAUCAUGUGACCUCACAGGAACCUGCAGAUUCACGUUUAAUAAUGAGUCGUCUCUCUAAAGACAGACACAUAGACAUAUAAGCAGUAGAUUGUGUCCUUCCAGAGGAGGAAAUCUACUUCUAGACUUCUAGAAUCAGCAUCUCCUCAUCCAUGGUGUCAUCGGGGUGAAAUGACGUCUAAAAACCUUUCACUUGUUCGUCUCCGCCCGUUUGCAUGGUGUGAAAUACGAUCCUCCUGAAACACGGAGUGUUUUAUUUUGAAAAGAAGCCGGAUGUUUUAUUUUGAAGUCUGUGCCCGACUUCCUUUCCAGCACGGGUUAAUCUGUGCUGAAUUUAUCCGCCAUGCUCCGGCGUCCAGAAAAAAUAGAACUCUUGUGAUCAGCUGAGGAGUCCGGCGAUCCGCAGAGGAACGGAAAGAAGUCGGUGUAAAUUGACACGUUAACUUGAAUGGUUACGAUCAGCUACGAUCGGAGGAUACGACCUUUUAGGAGACGAUCAGGAUGAAGGUGGAGAUCGGGGGUCAGACAGCAAGAGCAGAGUUCUGGUUCUGGUUCUUAGCUGCUUGUCAGGUGCAGAGGGUUAAAGUUUGGCUGAAUGUGGUCUGAGGAGCUCCUCCUCCUCCUCCUCCUCCUCCUCCUCCUCCUCCUCCUCCAACCACACCCAAAGAUCAGAGGGAGGUGAUGAGAGGAGGAGGUCAGAUGAAGAUAUUUAAUAUAAAUAAAAGAGUUAAAAUCUGUUCAACUUCCUCUCAGGAGAUUUACUGAGUUUAAAAGUUUCAUUAAAGAUUUUCAAAGUAAAAGUUCAAACCAAAGAUUUUCAAAAUAAAAGUUCACACUAAAGAAGAGAAUAACAAAAGUUUCCCUUUAAGGUUUAAAUUAAUUUAAUCAUGAGUGACAAACAACACACACACACACACACACACUCACACACACACACUCACACAUACACACACACACACACACACUCACAGCUGUCAGCA